UACAGAGGGUGCAAGCGUUGUUCGGAAUUAUUGGGCGUAAAGCGCGUGUAGGCGGCCUAGCAAGUCGGGUGUGAAAGCCCUCGGCUUAACCGAGGAAGUGCGCCCGAAACUACUAGGCUUGAGUACCGGAGAGGGUGGCGGAAUUCCCGGUGUAGAGGUGAAAUGCGUAGAUAUCUGGAGGAACACCGGUGGCGAAGGCGACAUCCUGGACCGGCAUUGACGCUGAGGCGCGAAAGCCAGGGGAGCAAACGGG
rnacentral:rRNA from 1 species